rnacentral:snoRNA from 1 species
UAUUAUGAUGAAAACAUAUUUUACACAGACCUGUACUGAAUCUUUCAUGCAGAUAAACAAAUAUUGCCUUUUAUUUCUGACA